rnacentral:rRNA from 1 species
AUUGAACGCUGGCGGCAUGCCUAACACAUGCAAGUCGAACGGCAGCACGGCAGUAGCAAUACUGUGGGUGGCGAGUGGCGGACGGGUGAGGAAUACGUCGGAAUCUGCCCAAUCGUGGGGGAUAACUAACCGAAAGGUUAGCUAAUACCGCAUACGACCGAGAGGUGAAAGCGGGGGACCGCAAGGCCUCGCGCGAUUGGAUGAGCCGACGUCGGAUUAGCUUGUUGGUGGGGUAAAGGCCUACCAAGGCAACGAUCCGUAGCUGGUCUGAGAGGAUGAUCAGCCACACUGGAACUGAGACACGGUCCAGACUCCUACGGGAGGCAGCAGUGGGGAAUAUUGGACAAUGGGCGGAAGCCUGAUCCAGCAAUGCCGCGUGUGUGAAGAAGGCCUCGGUU